UGUUACGCAAACGACACGAUGACACUUCAAUUGCAAACAAACUACGAACAAUUUUAUUAGUUGUACGUUCCGAAACAUUACUGACUGUUUUUGCGUUAAUCUGUCGAAAAAGAGUAACGCUUGAAGAUGUACCGAUACUGGACAUUUUGGACGACCACUGGACUCCCAAUUCCCAUUAGCGGGCUUGAUAGAUACAUGUAGUUGCUGCAACGACGUCGCGAAGUGCUGAACAGGUUACAAUCACCACUAGAGAAAGAGUGACAGCGGUGCAGUGUGUGUACGAAGGGAGAGCUCGUGCCAUCAGCGUUCCACCUCACGGAAAUCGUCGACAUGGAGAUCAGCCGUUCUCGGACAUCAUUAGUUUGCCGGUCAUUAGAGAUCGACUUGAACAAGCGCAUUAUCAGCACAUGAGAAAUUUCUUGAAAAUUCAGUUUUAGUAAUACUUCUAUUACGUAUUCGCCGGGACUAAUAACCGUACGAUGUAUGGUACAAGACCAUUUUUAUAUUUAGCUCUGAAAGUUUCAAUUUAAUCGCUAUGUUUUUAUUUUAGCAGUUUAUCAGUGAGUUC